rnacentral:lncRNA from 1 species
AGAGAUUAAGUGCCAAUGCUACUCAUAUGUUGGAUGGAUGGUCCACAAGGCCUGUGAUUGACUUCCAGAACAUACCUGCUUCUGAGUGUAUUUCUCAGAAGAUGAAAUUUCAGAGAGCUUCUUUUUCUCUGGAGGACUGUGUGACUGUUAAAGACAUCUCAGGCUACUCAAAAAUCAUUAUAUUCAUGUAUGAAUUAUCAAACAAUAAACUUUCAAAAAGAAAAACCUAAACCCCUUAACUAGAAUUUUCCACAGUUUUGACGUAUGAAAAAAGUGUGUGGUGACAAUUUAAAAAUAGAUAGAAUGUGUGCUGUGCUGUAAUCUCAGAAGAUACAAUGGAUUUCCAGGCUGUGGAUGCUGCUUCAGUGGCCAUAGGAAAAGAUUGUCUAGAAUAGUCAGGGGCCUCCACCUCAAAAUGCUGGCUGUAUCACCCUUAUCAAUACUGCAGAGGACCUUGAGAGGAUAUUGAAGACAAAAAUCCAAGUUUGUUAAUGCCCAAUUUUUACCCAAAUAGUAGGUCAGCUAGGACACCAGAACAGAGGCUAUUAUUCUUUUGAUCAACAUUGGUACAUCAGAGUUGGAGAAGCUCCUUGCCAUUUAUGGGCUUUCAUUAUACACUAAGCCUGGUGUCCACUUGAUCUUGGACUUUCUAUACUACGGAACUAUGAGAAUGCUCUCUUGCUUAUAGAUUACUCUGACUCAGAUACUUGUUACAUCAGCAUGAUGGGAUGAGAGGGGAAGGGAAGACGCUGCAUUUGGCUUUAGAGGAUGAUACUGAGUUUGAAAUGAUGAUGGACCAUUUCAGAGAAAGUGUCCACCUUACAACUGGAGAGUAUAGUAAGCAAGCAAAAGAAAAAUGGAGAGAUGGUAAAAAGUAUUGGAGGCUGUACAGAAUAGGCUUGGAGACACUCAUGUGAAGGCAUCAAUCAAGUCACUUUAAUGGACUGUCACAUUAACUUCUCUGAGACAGGAAAACAAGACACCAAAAGGAGCAGUGAGUGGAGGACCAUCUUAGGGAUGACUUACAUGCUUCUAUCCGUGGCUGGGGUCUGGACUUGAUCUUGCUGCUUGACUUCUUGUUCCCAUAUGUCUGAGUUGAGUGCUCUGUCUGGCUGCUCAUUGGGCUCUGUCUUCCCCACCCUCACCUUCUGAUGUGAUGCAGUUCUUCAGCUCACAUCCCAAAGCACCCACAAGCAGGUGGACUGCAGCUGGUGCCUUCCAGCCUUUUCUUCCUAUUAGACAGGCCCUAUUACAGAGUUACAUCAAUAAGAAUAUGAUACUCUGUUCCCAUUUAGAUAAGGACCCUAGGCCGAGCACACCCUAUUAGUUCCAGAAACGUGGACUUCAUCACAGUCUAGAGAUUUCUGCUGUCUUUUAACUCCUGACCAGGUAGAUGGAUUGGAUCCGAAUGCUGGAGUCAGAGUCUUGAUCAUGCAUCCUACCUUUGCUGCAUUCUGCCUCUUACUCCACUCUGCCACACUCCUUUCUUUCCUGUGUCUUCCUCCAUUGACCUACAACUAAAGCCCUGGCAUACUUUCCAGGCUGAGUUAAAAGGAAAAACUAAAGACUCUUGCCCAUGAACUUCCAGACAUAGAAGACUGAGUCUUAACUGGGAUAGUGCAAACAGGUCUGGGCUGUUCUCUCGCUCCCUCUUUUGCUAUAGUGCUUUCAGCAGAGGGACUAGUGCUUCCUUUUGAUGAUGUCCCCCCGACCCCCUGACCCCCGCACUGUCACUUAUGUAGACUUUUGUAAUUUUGUGUCCAUUUAUUUUUGCUUCUGUUAUCUGAACAUUCCUAAAUGCCUGUCAUAAAUGCGGUGGUAACCUAAUUUGGAAAACUAGCUGCCUUUAAAAAUAUAAAGUUACCUUUCCAGAAUGGAAAUAAGAACAAUUAUGUUAUAUUUUCUGAGAAACAAGGUUAUUAAUUAUUGUUGCUAUUAUUAGUUUGGGCUUUUUUAAAAAAGAAAAUAUUCCAGGCAUCUACAGUCAGGGGAGUAACCUGAAAAUAUAAUAGGAAAGCUCAUUUUCCAAUUUUGUUCACAAGCACUAUUGAGAAAUAAAUGCUUAUGAAUCAAAGUUUAAAAUGCA